rnacentral:rRNA from 1 species
CCUACGGGUGGCAGCAGUGGGGAAUAUUGGACAAUGGGGGGAACCCUGAUCCAGCCAUGCCGCGUGUGUGAAGAAGGCCCUCGGGUUGUAAAGCACUUUCAGUGAGGAAGAACGCCUGGUGGUUAAUACCCAUCAGGAAAGACAUCACUCACAGAAGAAGCACCGGCUAACUCCGUGCCAGCAGCCGCGGGUAAUACGGAGGGUGCGAGCGUUAAUCGGAAUUACUGGGCGUAAAGCGCGCGUAGGUGGCUUGAUAAGCCGGUUGUGAAAGCCCCGGGCUCAACCUGGGAACGGCAUCCGGAACUGUCAAGCUAGAGUGCAGGAGAGGAAGGUAGAAUUCCCGGUGUAGCGGUGAAAUGCGUAGAGAUCGGGAGGAAUACCAGUGGCGAAGGCGGCCUUCUGGACUGACACUGACACUGAGGUGCGAAGGCGUGGGUAGCAAACAGGAUUAGAUACCCCUGUAGUC